rnacentral:rRNA from 1 species
UACAGAGGGUGCAAGCGUUAAUCGGAAUUACUGGGCGUAAAGGGCGCGUAGGUGGUUAAGAAAGUUAGAUGUGAAAUCCCUGGGCUUAACCUAGGAACUGCAUUUGUGACUGCAUGGCUAGAGUGUGGUAGAGGGAGAUGGAAUUCCGCAUGUAGCAGUGAAAUGCGUAGAUAUGCGGAGGAACACCAAUGGCGAAGGCAAUCUCCUGGACCUGCACUGACGCUCAUGCACGAAAGCGUGGGGAGCAAACAGG